GAAAACGACUGCUAAGACUGGAUAGGAAACAGAAAGGCAUCUUUUUGUUUUUAAAAGACCUUCUUCGGAGGGUAUGCUUAAAGAGGGGCUUGCGCCACAUUAGUUAGUUGGUGAGGUAAAGGCUUACCAAGAUUAUGAUGUGUAGCUGGACUGAGAGGUUGAACAGCCACAUUGGGACUGAGACACGGCCCAAACUCCUACGGGAGGCAGCAGUAGGGAAUUUUCGGCAAUGGAGGAAACUCUGACCGAGCGACGCCGCGUGAACGAUGAAGUAUUUCGGUAUGUAAAGUUCUUUUAUUGAAGAAGAAAAAAUAGUGGAAAAACUAUCUUGACGUUAUUCAAUGAAUAAGCCCCGGCUAACUAUGUGCCAGCAGCCGCGGUAAGACAUAGGGGGCGAGCGUUAUCCGGAAUUAUUGGGCGUAAAGGGUGCGUAGGCGGUUAGAUAAGUCUAUAAUUUAAUUUCAGUGCUUAACGCUGUCUUGUUAUAGAAACUGUCUUGACUAGAGUGAGAUAGAGGCAAGCGGAAUUCCAUGUGUAGCGGUAAAAUGUGUAAAUAUAUGGAGGAACACCAGAAGCGUAGGCGGCUUGCUGGGUCUUUACUGACGCUGAGGCACGAAAGCGUGGGGAGCAAACAGGAUUAGAUACCCUGGUAGUCCACGCUGUAAACGAUGAGUACUAAGUGUCGGGGUAACUCGGUACUGAAGUUAACACAUUAAGUACUCCGCCUGAGUAGUACGUACGCAAGUAUGAAACUUAAAGGAAUUGACGGGACUCCGCACAAGCGGUGGAUCAUGUUGUUUAAUUCGAAGAUACACGAAAAACCUUACCAGGUCUUGACAUACUCUGCAAAGCUAUAGAAAUAUAGUGGAGGUUAUCAGGGAUACAGGUGGUGCAUGGUUGUCGUCAGUUCGUGUCGUGAGAUGUUAGGUUAAGUCCUAAAACGAACGCAACCCCUGUCGCUAGUUGCCAGCACGUAAUGGUGGGGACUUUAGCGAGACUGCCAAUUAAACAUUGGAGGAAGGUGGGGAUAACGUCAAAUCAUCAUGCCCCUUAUGAUCUGGGCUACAAACGUGAUACAAUGGCUAUUACAAAGAGUAGCUGAAACGCGAGUUUUUAGCCAAUCUCAAAAAGGUAGUCUCAGUACGGAUUGAAGUCUGCAACUCGACUUCAUGAAGCUGGAAUCGCUAGUAAUCGCGAAUCAGCAUGUCGCGGUGAAUACGUUGACGGGGUUUGUACACACCGCCCGUCA
rnacentral:rRNA from 1 species